rnacentral:rRNA from 1 species
GACGGACGCUGGCGGCGUGCCUAAUACAUGCAAGUUGAGCGCUGAAGGUUGGUACUUGUACCAACUGGAUGAGCAGCGAACGGGUGAGUAACGCGUGGGGAAUCUGCCUUUGAGCGGGGGACAACAUUUGGAAACGAAUGCUAAUACCGCAUAAAAACUUUAAACACAAGUUUUAAGUUUGAAAGAUGCAAUUGCAUCACUCAAAGAUGAUCCCGCGUUGUAUUAGCUAGUUGGUGAGGUAAAGGCUCACCAAGGCGAUGAUACAUAGCCGACCUGAGAGGGUGAUCGGCCAAAAUGGGAAUGAGAAACGGCCCAAACUCCUACGGGAGGCAGCAGUAGGGAAUCUUCGGAAAUGGACGAAAGUCUGACCGAGCAACGCCGCGUGAGUGAAGAAGGUUUUCGGAUCGUAAAACUCUGUUGGUAGAGAAGAACGUUGGUGAGAGUGGAAAGCUCAUCAAGUGACGGUAACUACCCAGAAAGGGACGGCUAACUACGUG